CACUAUACAUUCUUUUCCUCCUUUUCAACUUGUUAAAACCCACAGAGCUGUAAAUCUAAUCUCUAAGCUGGUGCAAUGCUCAGGGGAUGAGGCAUUGCAGACAUCUGAAUGCAGAUAAUCCUGUUUGCCUCCAGAAUGUUGGGGACCUCAGGAGGAGCUGGCAAGCUGUGAGAGGCCCUGACAUUUGCCAGCUGGUGUAAGGACGAGCCAUCUCUAUGUUGUUGUCAUUCAGUCCAAUGUCUGGGAUUUGGUUUUGUUUCAUCGUUAAAUAAAAUCAGUACUUUUCCAAGAAAGGUCACUGCAAGAUUGAAUUCGAGAAGAGCCUUUUAUUUCUCAAUGUGGAGGCAACUUCUGCUCUACUUCAGGACUCACAGCUACCAUGCAGACAGCUGUCAAGCAAAGGAUGCCCUGCAAAAUGAAAAUGAAGAGGAUAUUAAAACAGUACAACAGCUUUUCAAGAUUUUGUCAAAAGCCUCAAAGCUGUCUGAGGGCUGAACCAACAUAAUCUAUGGUGAAUGGCAUGCUCCUGUGUACUCAGCAGAGCAAGGGAGGCAGAUGUAAGAAAAUAUCUUAUUAAAACUUUGAUGCAAAAGUAAUACACCCUGGUUCAUGGUAGGGAAGAAAAUGAAACAGAAAACUCAGACAAUUUUGAAAUAACGUAGUUUGUUAUUUUUUUUUUCUCAGAUUAAUCUAGCACCAGAGCGGAGAGAAACAAAGGUAACCAGUCAAAAGAGUAGAUCUCUUUGGUGAAAGGCAAGAAGGGAGAAGAAGCCAUUCCCUAGGAUCCUUCAAGUUAGAGCAAGAACUGGCUUCUCCAUCUCACCUUCUUAGCCAACACAUUUGUUUCCUGGAGGCAAUUUCACUUGAAUUGUACACAGGAAUAUACUCAUCAGAAAUCCUAAGUGAUAGUGCUUUUACCAAGAGGAAAUAUUCAGUCAGCUUUGCCACUGUCAGUUACCCAUUCCUGCUCAUCAACAAAGUACUUUUAAAAUUUCAUGUCAUUCUGCCUGGUUAUCUGUCUAUUUAGCCUGGCGACUUCUUGGCUUUCUUGAAGGGAAUGGGAGUUCUGUCACAGGCACAACUACUUCUUAGUAUAACCCUUGGUAGUCACUGCUUCUGAACCCUGCAUUCUCCACAGCUCGUGUCCCCAUUCAGGUCUUGUUUUGCUGCCCUGUUAUUCAUUGUAGGUGAACUGUUCCUUUCAGCUUGUCUCUUACAUGAAAUUGUAGUUUGUUAAUGCAUCUUUGAGACUAGAGUGGAUAGGAUGGAGUCAGGGACCUAACAGAGUAGAACAUAUUUCACUG
rnacentral:lncRNA from 1 species